UUUUGUCUCAUGCGGUUGAGUUCUCACAGACCAGGCAGCCAUUUUGUAUCACAUGCCUGAGCUCCCACAGGUUGGGCAGCCAUUUUGUAUUGCAUGCCUGAGUUCCAACGGACAAGGCAUCCAUUUUGUAUCACGUGGCUGAGCUCCCACAGACUGAGAGGCCAUUUUGUCUCACGUGGUUGGGCUUACAGAGUCGAGGAAGCCAUUUUGUAUUGCAUGCCUGAGUUCCAACGGACAAGGCAUCCAUUUUGUAUCACGUGGCUGAGCUCCCACAGACUGAGAGGCCAUUUUGUCUCACGUGGUUGGGCUUACAGAGUCGAGGAAGCCAUUUUGUAUUGCAUGCCUGAGCUCCCAAAGACUCGGCGGCCAUUUUGUAUCACGUGGCUGACCUCCAACAGACAGGGCGGCCAUUUUGUCUCACGCGGUUGAGCUUCCAGAGACUGGGCAGCCAUUUUGUAUCACAUGGUUGAGUUCCCACAGACUCGGAUGCCAUUUUGUAUCACAUGCCUGAGCUCCCAAAGAUUCGGCGGCCAUUUUGUAUCACGUGGCUGAGCUCCCACAGACUGGGCGGCCAUUUUGUCUCACGCGGUUGAGCUUCCAGAGACUGGGCAGCCAUUUUGUACCGCAUGCCUGAGCUCCCAAAGAUUCGGCGGCCAUUUUGUAUUGCAUGCCUGAGCUCCCAAAGAUUCGGCGGCCAUUUUGUAUCACGUGGCUGAGCUCCCACAGAUUGGGCAGCCAUUUUGUCUCAUGCAGGUGAGUUCUCACAGACCAGGCAGCCAUUUUGUAUCACAUGCCUGAGCUCCCAAAGACCAGGCAGCCAUUUUGUAUCACAUGCCUGAUCUCCCACAGACCAGGCAGCCAUUUUGUACCACGUGGCUGAACUCCCAAAGACCAGGCAGCCAUUUUGUAUCACAUGCCUGAGCUCCCACAGAUUGGGCAGCCAUUUUGUCUCUUGCAGUUGAGUUCUCACAGACUGGGUGGACAUUUUGUAUCGAAUGCCUGAGUUCCCACGGCGAAGGCAGCCAUUUUGUACCGCGUGGCUGAGCUCCCACAGACUGGGCGGCCAUUUUGUCUCACACGGUUGAGCUUCCAGAGACUGGGCAGCCAUUUUGUAUCACAUGCCGGAGCUCUGAAAGAUUCGGCGGCCAUUUUGUAUUGCAUGCCUGAGCUCCCAAAGAUUGGGCAGCCAUUUUGUAUCGCAUGCCGCAGCUCCCAAAGAUUCGGCGGCCAUUUUGUAUCACGUAGCUGAGCUCCCACAGACUGAGCGGCCAUUUUGUCUCACGCGGUUGAGCUUCCAGAGACUGGGCAGCCAUUUUGUAUCACAUGGUUGAGUUCCCAGAGACUCGGAAGCCAUUUUGUAUCACAUGCUUGAGCUCCCACAGACUGGGUGGCCAUUUUGUACCACGUGGCUGAGCUCCCACAGACAGGGCAGCCAUUUUGUAUCACAUGCUUGAGCUCCCACAGACUGGGUGGCCAUUUUGUACCACGUGGCUGAGCUCCCACAGACAGGGCAGCCAUUUUGUCACACAUGGCUGAGCUCCCACAGAUUGGGCAGCCAUUUUGUCUCAUGCUGUUGAGUUCUCACAGACCAGGCAGCCAUUUUGUAUCACAUACCUGAGCUCCCACAGACUGGGCAGCCAUUUUUCUCACUAGGCGGAACUUCCACAGACUGGGCAGCCAUUUUGUAUCACCCAGUUGAGUUCCCACUGACUGGGCAGCCAUUUUAUAUCAAAUGCCUGAGCUCCCACAGAUUGGGCAGCCAUUUUGUAUCAUGUGGUUGAGCUGCCACUGGUCCUUUUCCCUCGUACAGGGAAAGUGCCUGUUUCACCCACGAGAGGCAGCAGACAGUUGGCAUUGCCUCCUGUGGUUCCACAGUGCUCCCUCUAAAAUUGAAGAAUAAGGUGUGUUCCUUAUUAAAGGCAUUAUUAGUGCCCUUCCCCUUUAACCAGGACCAUCAACCUGUAGGCAGAAGGUGGAAACUUUCUUCCUGACUGAGAGGAAUCAUUCUGUCAUUGAAUUGGGAGCAAAGCUAGUGGAGGCAUGAAGAGAAAUUAUGGAAGAAGAUACAUUACAGAAAAAAAAACAUUUUACGCAAAGCAAAGAAGUGGUUUUGCGGACAUUUGCACAAUGUGUUGAGCAUUAUGGGAGAAGCCCCAAAGGUAUGUGUUUGAGUAUUUAACUACUAGAUGAUGGAAGCACCUGUAGUUGAUACAGGCUUGGAUUUAACAGGGGAGAGUAGUAAAAUUCAACUCUUCUGUCAGCCCCAGAUGUGAGCCUUCCUUCAUGCUGAACACUCCUGAAUUCCCAACAUUGCUCUGCAGUUUCUAACUUAACAGCCCUCAGCACCACUGCAUCUCUUUCUAGUGGUACAGUGUAAGUACCCUUCACUCUCAUGAAGCAGGACAGAAGGACAAACAAUGAGGAUAUCUAUAUAUACAGAUAUAUAUAUAUAUACACACACAGAGAUAUACAGAGCUAUUAAAUCUCUGAAUAUUGUCACACUGACAUAAAAAAAAAAUCAAGAACACAUUGACAUUAACCUGCUUUUUGACUAAUGCCUACAGACACAUUAUUAAUAUGAAUCCAUCCUAAUUGCUCUUUGGUGGUCAGAAUGACAGAUGUCACAGGAUGCUUUCUGCACAUACUUCACUGUGCAAGACAAAUGUGUUUCUCUGUUGCUACUUGAUUUUAUAAUAAUUUGUAAAAUGUCUGUUACAAUAUUUAUUAUAAAAUGUUAUUAAGCAGUAUUAAAACAUCAUGAGCUAGAUCCUGUUGUAGGAUGUAGCCAUUCUGUUUUGAUAAGGAAAUCAGGCCUUAAUAGUAGCACAAGCAGUUCCCAGAAGAUAAAAGCAAAUGUCCAUAACCAGAGUGUAAAUGCCUUUUCCUCAUCCUUUGCUCAAAGAGAAAAAGAAGACAUGGCUAUCAGACCACAAUUGAUGUUACUGCAGUCAGUUGUGAUUUCUUUCAAACUUUUCAAGAUUCUUGCCAACAGAAAGGAACCAUCUCAGAACAGAACAUCACUGAUUUUGAACCAAAAAGGAUGCAGAUAUAUAUAAGCCAUUUACCUUCCCUGGCUGCCAAGAAAUGCAAAUGCAAAAUACUAAUGGUGCAUAUUGUGUGUAUUUAAACAUUUGAAUACUGAGCACAGAGUGAGGUUGAAACAGUGACAAGCAUUUCUUUCUGGCUAGCAGUUUAGAACGGUUUUUUAAGAUAAGAUGAAUAUGGUGAAAACAACCUUUCUACAAGCGUGAGCCCUGGAUACCUGUGAACCUGGGAAGAAUACUAUCUUUCUGCUGUUGCAACAAACCAGAGAAUUCUCAGGACUACAUAGUAUCACCUACUGACACUGUUUUGGAGAGUACUGCCAUUUCACAGCACUCCACUGCCUGUAUAUAUAUAAACCUAUGAUACCUUAUCCACAGCACAAAGGGAGAGCAAGUAAAACUAGCUAUUGGGUCCACAUGCUACCACUGGGUCUCAUGCUGGGAGUCUCGCUCUUCAGUGCUGAUCUGUAAUGGGGUCCCCCACACACUCAUAUCCACUUCAUAAUAAAAAGAGUUGAAAAGGUGCAUCUUUGUAAUAGGAGUGGCAGUGCACAGCCAUACCAAGUUGCCAUUCAAAUGAAAACAAUAAGCAAAUUUUGUGCAGUACUAAAUUGCAUCAAAAUUAAUGUUUUGCAGUUUUCCAGCACUUCUGCCUCCUUAUAUUGACUGAAGCUGAGACAAUCACCUUGCAUUUUGAAUUUAGCCAUAAACCUCUUAUAAACUAAAGAGGAAGAAAAAAAAAUCAGCAGAAACGCAUCUGCAGUAUUCAAAAGGAUGGUAAAAAACUGCUUCAUUUCUUUGUGGCUAUUUUUCUGGCAUGGCAUGCAGUUAUUUAAUCAGGGCACUACGAGUCCCUGCCGACGGCAAUCCAUGAUUCUAAAUGAGGCUGUGCACUUGAUAAUAAGAACUGACCAAAACGCUUGAGUGUUCUGCUUCAAAGCAGUCUCCCUGAGACUAUAUUAUAAAGAUUAUUUACAGAAAAGGCAGUAGCCAAACUGUUAUUAUAGCUUGUCAAUUUAUAAGCAUGAUUGCAUUUACAUGUAUGGACUAGAAAAAGCAAGAAUUUCUUGGUGUGUGUAAAGCUGUCAUUUUUAAUGUUCUCUGGAAAUUCUGUUUUGUAUAUAAAGUGGAAAGCUUCAGUGUUUUGUUGAAGAGAAAACCUUAAACAGUGCUUCCUAUUUUAUAUGCAAACCUACUGGAGAUCGCUACAGUUGGGUUGUAAGGGCACCAGAUCUUCAGCUACCGUCAAUCAGCAUAACUCCUCUGAUCUGUACAGUAGAAAUGUGCAUUGUAUUACACCAAAUAGCUAAGAAGUAACUUAUCUUUGUGAAAACCAAUAACCAACAAUGUUUUCUAUACCACAGGCAGAGAACAGGCUGCCCGGAGAUGUGGUGGAAACCCUGUCCCUGGAGACAUUCAAGGCCAGGAUGGAGCAGGCUGAGAAGCUUGUGGAUGUCCCUGUUCACUUUAAAGGUACCCUGCAACUCUAAGGAUUCUAUGAUUCUGUGUUAGCAGAGUUCCCUUUUCAUUUAACAAAUUGAGUAUAAACUAACAACUACCUAAGCUUGACAUAAUCAAGAUAUUUAUUCCUUUAUGAUAUGACUGUGCUCACAUAAAAAAGUACCAGCCAGGAAACAGCAUCACAUUGUGUGGACUGUAGUACAGAUGCAUAACAAGUGCUACCUCCAGAAAGAUCCCAAUUUAAGACACAACAAAUCAGCUGAGGAAAAAGCGGAAACACAUAUGGACUAAAGGACUUGUGCUCUUGUUAAUACAACUACUUAGCAUUCCAUAUUUAAGCCAAUACACAAACAUCAAAGGCUAAUUGAUGACAUUAGUGAAAAAGGGCAUGAUGCCUCUUCGGCUUCUUUCCAGAACUUCUGGAGAUUCCUGUCAUCCUGCCAUGCAAUUUAGCUUGCAAAGUCCUGAUAUAAAAAAAAAAGUUCUACUUUUCAAAGAACAGACCAUGGCCUCUGGAUUACUUCUUAUUCUAUAUCUGCAUUGUUACACAUAUACAGAAAUAUUCUUGUUGAACUAAAUUUCAUGUGUAGAAGGGCAGUGCAGCAGCAGAGCAGUCUGCAGACACCUGGAAACUUGGUUCUAGUCCUGCCAACAGCCCAUUUUGGUACCAGGUCAAGCUGUGAUUUUGGGUGGAAGCUCAGUGCUGAGCACACAUUUUUGAGCAGAUCGGUUCUCCCACUCAGCCUCCGCACUCCCCUCUGCCAAACAGAUGAUCUUUUUGUCCAAAGCUUGCAAAAUGUAACCCUUCUGUUACCUCCAGGUGCCAGUUUUUCUUAUAACAAGCUCUGCUUGUGAUCUGACUGCAAUUGAAACAGACGUAUGAGAACAAGAAAGAAGUCUGUAUGUCAGAGGACCUGCAGAACUGUUGUACACAUCUGAGUCAAUCAGCUCAGGCAGUAGAGACUUUACCCUUCAGUUCCAUUUUAGAAAGUGUGGAUUUAUUCAGUCCUGAACCUAUGCCAGGCACUGCAACAAACCCAACACUGCAGCUGAAGCAUUGGAGUGGGAGAGUUAUACCUCUGCCACCAACAUAUGGACAGCAGUAAUAUAUUCAUGAAAAACUGAAGGCGAAGGUAAAGCACAAUUCCAGAACACAGCAAUAUCUGAAAACUUUGAGCACAGCAGAAGUGUUGACAAAAAUCUGUUGCCACAGUGCUGCAAAGCUCCAGGAUGUUAAGAGGCUUCCAGGCAAAUCUUUAUGAUGCACAUUGGAUGGAUGGUGAGUUCAAGAAUAUCAGCAGCCCCAGCAGCAGCCAAGACUAAAACAUCAGCGCAUACACACAAAGCUUUUUUCCCAGUGGCCUAAUCAAACACAUGCUGAAGCUCAGACAGUAUUUUUCUUUAUAGCAGCUCACAGCUUUUUGCAACUUUUAUCAAGAUUUCUUGCCUCAGUGGUUACCUUGAGGAUUAGAGGGGGCUUAGGGAAGACAAGGUCCUGGUGAGAACUUGAAUUAACAGCUGUUCAUCUUUUUAGCUUGUCUUUCCAUCGAUGCUUUGGGAAUGUUAUAUCAAUGGUUGCUUUCUGGAUUACAAUUGCAAGAAAGCUGCUCCACCACAGAACAUUUGUUGAGCUCAUAAACACAGCACAGUCACUGAAAAAGUGCACAAAGUGCUGUACCUUUUGCCAGAGAUAAUCAAAGGGAUUCAUAUGGUUGUCACUUGUGCCUUUAAACGUGAAGCACGUUAAAGAAUGCCAACAUUUAUGAAAAGCCAUAUAUGAAAUCCCACUUGAUGAGGGAGAGCUAGGGUCCAACUCACUCUUCCUCGAGCACCCCCACCGCUUCGCUCGGUGCGCAGCCCACCUCGGAAGGAGACACUCAAGUGCCCGGAGCCGCACCAGCACCGCACCGACACGGCUCUGCUUUCCUGCCCCUCGACACAGGAGCGCUCUUUUGUCUCCAGCAACCUUCGGGCACGAUCCUCAGAGGGCAUAGCCUUCACACGGACCUCUCGAGCAACGCGGCGGCUUCUCCCUGCUAACCAAGGAGCGCACCCAGCACCUGACCAGGACCGGGCGGCACCGCGGAGCCGGCCCGCACCGCACAGCACCGCACCGCAACCGGCCCCCGCCGCCCAGGGCUGCCCCAGUCAGCGGGACCCCUACCCGCGCCCCCACACUCACUUC